CAUAUAAAUACUAUAGAAAAUUCCAAGUAACACAAGGAGGAAAAUAAAAACUCCUUUAACUACAUUCCAAGGUAAUAAAUAUUGUUAAUAUUUUAAUUCUAUCUUAUCUCUCUCUUUAGUUUACGGAUAUGUUAACAUACAUUUUUAAAUGACAUGAAAUGGGUGUAAAAAAUUCAUGUUCCACAACUACAUGCAGGAUUUCAUUUUUGAAAGUUACAGGCUGCCCUGACAUAUUUCUUAUGCCUUAAUACAUGAAUAAGCAAAGAAGCUCGAGAACUGACACAGAAAUAUUAAGUACUGAAGAUAUCAGUCAUGUGAUUUCCAAGGUACUAAAAUAUGGUCAAGAACAUUUCUUUUGUGAUUAAUCUUGGGUCCAGAGUUUUAAUAUUUAACAUUUCUAUAAAUGGGCUAUGCAGACAUAGGGAAUUUUGUCCCUUUUCCACAGGGAAUUAUUUAUUGAUUAGCCUUAGCUUUGUAGCCAAGCACUUAGUACUUGUUUGCCAAUGAGUCACUUUAAUAGGACCACCAACACAUAAUUCAAUUAUCUUUGUUUUCUGCUGAGAAAAAUCAGUGAAAAUUGUAUUUGCACUAAUCUGUAACCUAUUACUUGAGAUUUGUUGUAAGUCUAAAAAUAUUAGUGAGUAGAAUAGCAUUCUAUUUCUUAAUCAUUUCAUUUCCUGAGAAUAGCGACCUAUCGUCUGGCGCCCAGAUUCAUCUUGGCUGACACCAUCUCUGAUCUCAGCUGUGGUGUUGUAGACAGGUCUACAGAAGCUUCAACUCACAGAAGGAGGGAGAAGCCCUGACCCAAAGGCUUUAUGUGUGUGCUUCCUGUGAUCUCCACAGGCCCCAAGUACCCGCAGGACCUUGCUUGGGUUGUGGAGCCCUUCACUGAGCUGAGAGCACAGGAGGACGAUGAGCAGGUUCGGUGGACUGUGGGGGGCUUGGAUUUGAACUACCUGCAACACUUUGUAGCAGAGAACAUAACAGUUGAAAGAGGUUGGAGCCAGGAAGACUUCCUACAGGAAGUGACAGGAAAUUACUCUGUGAUGCAUUUUCAGCAAAUCAGGCAGAACUGCAGAAAGGGACAAUAGCAAUCAUCUGCGAUUGUUGGUGUGUGUCUUGAGGGACCAAGACGUCGUCAAAGAAAUACUGAAGGAAUACCAAGAAAAAG